rnacentral:lncRNA from 1 species
UUGUGUUUGAGGUCCGAGAAGUUCGAGUUCGUAUUUCAGAAAAAAGUCUGAGUGAGUUGCUUCAUCUUCCCUAUGAGGGUGCCACACCAAAAAAACCAGAGCAUAAGAUGAGAGUCCUACAGCUGGUUUUAGAGAGAGAUGACUUUGAUUAUUUAGAAAAUUUAGUAGCUAGCUCCCUAUCAGCUGAGAUGAGGUUCUUGCAUAACUUCAUAGGUCGGAUACUGUUUCCGAAAAGUGGAAGAUUUGAUCAUGUAUCUAAGCGUGCGAUUUGGCCAUUAUGGAGCAUGUCAUUCAGGGUAUACCCCUGAAUCUUCCAGCCAUGAUCAUUAGGCAGAUGCGUGAGGCCAUAUGCAGAUUGAGAGCAUCCUUGCCCUAUGGUAUGGUACUCACCUUAAUUUUCAAUCAUAAUGACAUAUCUGUAGAGGGAGAGAUAUCCAGAGAUUUGUUAUUUACCGACACCUACACUUCACGAUCCCUAGUGCGCAUGGGUUAUGAGAAGGUGGACGGUCAGUGGGUGCGUGGAGGUGUAGGGGCACAUGCACCGGAGGCUGAUGCACCAGAGCUUGGAGACUCUAUCCCUCAGCCUGAGAUACCUGCGAAUCACCCUACAGCACAUUCAGAGGCAGGACCUUCAUCAUCCACACCUGCGGGAUGUACAGAAGAAUACUGGAGUAGGAUGACUGAGCUUGUGUCAGCUCAGGUGAGGAUUCUCUAUAAUAGCAUGAUGAGCAGAAUGGACAGUAUGAUACUGAGAUUAGAGGAUUAUCUGCUCAGCUGACAGGCCUCACAGACCGGAUGACAGCAUUAGAGAGAGAGGUUCAUGGUCCAUAUGUGCCCCGAGCAGCUGAGUCAGAGGUUUCGGCACAGAGUCACCCAGUUCACAGAGCCCCACGACAGACUCAGUCUCAUCAGGCCAGACCUUCCCUCGCCACUUAUGCUAGGAGGAUGAGGACUAGAUCACAGCCACUAGACUCCCCCUAGGCCCGAUGAUAGCACUACAGGAGCACAUCAUGAUUAGUGCCUAGGAUCUAUCUAGUAUUCAUAUGCAUUUUAUCUUGUUGAUGUAUUUUGCAUCUAAUUUGAUAAACAUUGUACUUUUGACAUCCAUGUACUACAAUAUUUCAUUUUGAUCAAUGGUAUUUAGAUUUUAUCAUUUAUUGCUAUACAUUUUGAUGAUAACAAAAAGGGGAAGAAGUAAGAAAAGAGAGAAGUUGCAAUAUAGGGGAGCAAUGUAGAAAUAAAUAGGAAGAAAAUAUAUUCACUUAAGGGGGAGAUAUGUGCAACAAUGAAAAUUUUCUACACCUUCAAAUUUCAAAACAAGAAAAUCUGAAUUUUUAAGCAAAAUUUCUGAAUUUGGCACAUACACCUCAUGCCUCGAUACAUAACUUGAAAAUCCUGUUUUAUCUCAAACUCUUGAAGUUCCAUCUUUCUUAAAAUACAAGUGUAAUGGGGAGAAAAUCAAAUGUUCAAAUUGGCAAUAUUUGGAUGAAGGAGGGGGAGCUUUCACUUUCAUAUUUAGAAAAGCUGAAAUUCAGCGACUUAAGUUUUUUCCAAAUCAAAACCCUUAAUUUUGAUACAAGAGUCAAUUUGCCAAUACUCAAUGUUUUGUAAUCAUCAAAAAGAAGGAGAUUGAGAAUAAUAGUGUUAUUUCGAUGAUUAACACAACAAUUGAGGGAAUAUCAAAUUAAUAAUAUAGCUUAACUUGAUACACCACUAAUGAAUACCACACUCCUGAUACAUUGAAAGAAUGAGAUUAAGACGACUCCCAAUGAUUAACAACGAGAUAAAAAUGUUAGAGAGCUUUUAAAUCUAAUUCGGCAAAGUUUCAAGUGAAAUAUAUUUUUAAGGGCAAAACAGUAAUUUUCAUUGUUAAGGGUAUGAAGUUCUACCGUGGCAUACACUCAAAAUUAUUUGAAAUAUAUUCCAUUGAUUGUAUGAAUCAGUCUAACCUUAAGAUGUAGAAAAUUGUGAGUUGAGUCGACCCGAGAAGAAGUAGAGUUGACUUUGGCACAUUUUGGAACCAUCUGGCACAUCCUUGAAAAAAUGGCUCAGAUGAACAACAAGUGGAGCCCACCCCCAAUGGAGCCGACCCUAGUGGAGCCAACCCCAGGAUAAGUGUUCAAAAAUCAUGUCUCUGGAAUCUCUGAGAAGGUCGACCCCAAUGGAACUUGAGUCGACCCCACUGUAGCACGGGUCGACCCCAAGAAAGUAUGAGUCGACCCUAGUGAAAAUGCCAAAAAAAAUAAAAUUUCUGUGGUUUCUGAGAAGGCCGACCCCACUGUAGUAGGGGUCGACCCCAAAGAAGCUUGAGUCGACCCCUGAGAAGGUUGAGUCGACCCCAAGGCUGAUGAACAGUAACUUGAGUCGACCCCAGCAGGGAAAGGAGCAUAACGGCUAGUUCUGUAGAAGUACUUUUUAAGCUUCCAACGGCUAGAAAUGGCUAGUAUUUCAAAUCUAAUGAAUGGAAAGUGACCAAUAGAGGUUGAGAGAUAUUUAAGAGACACUAUUCAUCAGAGGAAAAUAUCCUUUUGCAAGAAAUCAAUAGAGCAUUCAAGUUAAAGCAAGCCCUAGCAUUCUUCAUCAAGUUGCUUCAUUCAAAUCCCAAAAGAAGGUGGUUGAGCAAUCUGAAAGCGCAUUCAACAGCUUCACCAACCCAUUGUGAAGUGAAGUAACCUGAGCAAAGAAGAGAAGAGCAUCCCAAAGCGAUAACUAUCUCUCAUCUCUUCUUUGAGUUCAUAUUUAUUAUAUUUGCUCAUUUAGGAGCUUCAAACUUCUUUUCUUUUUAAAUCUCUUGUAAGAUUGGUUGGUGAGCUCGUAAAACCAAUGGUGUAGGUUGUUGGUGAGCCCGCAAAACUAACAUAGAUUUUUGGUGAUCUCGGAAAAUCAAAGUGUAAAGGUUUUUAGAUUGUGAGCCCGAAAAACAAUCCAACUGUAAUCCACGGGAUUAUAGUGAAUUUCCAAAGGGACGCUUGAGGAGUGGAUGUAGGUGCUUAGAAGAGCACCGAACCACUAUAUUUCUUGUGUGUUUGCCUUGAGUGUCUUACUAACUUCACUACACGCACUUAAUUAGUAUUAACUAAAUUACCCAUUCAUCUAUCAAAUUGAUUAAGGGAUUAAAAAUUUAGGAAACCCAAUUCACCCCCCCUCUUGGCUUGUCGACCAUAAUCUUAUCAAAUUUGCGAUACUAUUAUCUUGGAGACUGCUUGAGACCAUAUAAUGAUCUCUUGAGCAAACAUAUAUGAUCUUCCUUGUCUGGAACCUCAAAACCAGGUGGGUGUUGCAUAUAAAUCUGUUCCUUUAAAUCACCGUGAAAAAAAGCUGUUUUAACAUCUAGCUGUUCCGGCUCUAAAUUCUGAGAAACAACUAAAGCAAGCAACACACGGAUAGAAGAGUGUUUGACUACAUGAGAAAAUAUCUCCUUGUAGUCAAUUUCCUACUGUUGACUAUAGCCCUUAGCUACCAACCUGGCCUUUUAUCUAAAAUCCUGAGGACUGACUCCCUCCUUUUUCUUGAAGAUCUAUUUGCAGCCAAUUACCUUAUUGUCCUCUGGUAAUCUGACUAAUUUCCAAGUCUGAUUCUUCUCUAAAGAUUGUAGUUCUUCAACCAUAGCCACGGUCUAUUGUUCAGCCUGUGAACUAUUAAUAGCCUCCUGAUAUGUGGUCGGCUCAUCACCAAUAAUGUCUGCAAUGCUCAGAGCAUAAUAAACUAACCCAGCACAAGCUGAAUCCUCAAAGCCAUACCUUUGUGGUGUUCUGAUCUGACGCCUAGGUCUACGAGUGGCAAUGCUAUCAAUCUGAUCCUGACCUUGCAUGGUAACCUCCUCCUGAGUCUGUAUCUCUGCAUCUGUCAGGUGUUGCUGAAAAUUUAGAAUAAAAGUAUCUUCAUUUGCCUGCUGCUGCUGUGAUCUGAUAGUUUGGUCAAUAUUCAUAACAGUCCUAUCCAUCUGAUUCUGAUCCUGAUCUCUCUGAGAAGAACUAGGAUGUAGCUGCCUUAAAGAAGUGGCUAUCUCAUGAAAUGUCAUAUCCCUACUGAAUAAAAAUUCUUGGGAUCCAGGCUCUGUGCACCAUAGUCUGUAGCUUUUUACCCUAUAUGCGUAUCCAAGAAAUACGCACUUCUUAGCCUUGGGGUCCAAAGACUCUGAGUACUAAAUAGUCUGCAGGUCUUCCUGUCCACAUCUCUUCCGGAGAUUUCAUGCCCAAUGCUGAUGCUGGAGAUCGGUUUAUAAUGUAGCAGGCUGUAUGAGCGGCCUCUGCCCAAAAAUCUCUAGUUAAUCCAGAACUAGAUAGCAUAGAUCUGACUCUCUCAAUUAGUGUGCGGUUCAUGCGUUCUGCCACACCAUUCUGUUGAGGUGUACCGACUGUGGUUCUGUGUCUAACAAUGCCCAAUGAUUUGCAAAAGUCAUCAAACUCAGUUGAACCAAAUUCUAAUCCAUUGUCAGUUCGGAAGGUUUUCAACUUUCUAUCAGUAUGCCUCUCGACCAUAGCCUUCCACCUCUUGAAUGUGUCAUAACACAUCACUCUUAUUUCUGAUAGUAUAUAUCCAGAAUUUGCGGGAGUAGUCAUCAAUAAAAGUGAGUAAAUACCUAGAUCCACCCUUGGAUGUAAUUGGGGCAGGCCCCCAUAGGUCAAAAUGAAUAUAAUCUAAUAUACCAGCUGUCAUGUGCACGCCUGUAGAAAAGCUGACCCUGUGUUGUUUUCCGAACACACAAUGCUCACAGAAUCCAAGUGCACCAACCUUCUGACCACUUAGCAAACCACGUCUGCUCAACUCCUGUAAACCUUUAUUUGAGAUGUGGCCCAAUCUCUGAUGCCACAGGUGUGUCAGCUGCUCAAUAGAAGACUGUACUGCUGAAGCCUGUUCAACUAUUGUACUACCAUCCAAAUAGUAAAGGGUCCCACACAAUUUUUCUUUCAAUAAAGUCAAUACUCCUUUAUUGAUAGUUAUUGAUCCUCUACCCCAUCUGCCCUCAAAACCUGCACUAUCGAAAGCAUGUACUGAGAGAAGGUUUCUUUUUAGUUGAGGAACAUAUCUGACAUCGUCCAAAAUCACCACAGUGCUUGCAUUAGAUUUAAUUUGAACUGUACCAACACCUUCCACUUUGCCAAUGCCAUCAUCUCCAAGAAGAAUGGUGCCCCCCUCACAUGAUCUAAAAGAAGAGAACCAUUCCCUAUGGGAUGUCAUGUGGAAAGAUGCUCCAGAGUCCACAAUCCAAGUAUCAGGAUGACUAACACUGCAAGCAGCUGUAAAUACUGCAUCAUUAUCAUUACUAUUGUGACCUGCGAUGAAACUGCAACUGUUGCCAAAUCUGAGAUGGUUCCUUUAUCCUUUGUUCCCUCUCUUUCUUAGAAUGUAGGAGUCUACAUUCUGAUUUCCAGUGGCCUGACUUCUUACAAUAGUGACAAACACAUGGUCUUUUGGACCUAGACUUUGAUCUGGUUUUGGAUUUGCUUCUACCUUGUCCACCUUUCUUCUGUUCAUCUCUACCUCUAACUAUAAGUCCUUGAGCUGGAGUCUGAACCUGAUGCUGUAGCUGUAAUUUCAAUCUAAGCUCAUUGGAUAACAAAGUAGCUUCUACCUCUUGAAGACUUAUUGUCUCUUUUCCAUAGAGCAUAGUAGUAGUAAUAUGCUCAAAGGACUUAGGCAAUGAGUAGAUCAGAAUCAAAGACUUAUCUUCUUCAUCAACUUCAACACCAAUAUUUGCUAAAUCAAGCAGAAGCUUAUUAUACUCAUCCAAGUGAUCUUUGAGUGAAGCCCCUUCUGCCAUACGAAAUGUGUGCAACUUUUUUCUCAAAUACAGUCUAUUAGUAAGGGAUUUUGCCAUAUAUAGACUCUCCAAUUUUUUCCAUACUCCCUUAGCUGUAUCAAGAUCCACAACAUUGCGUAGGACUUUAUCACUCAAGCCCAAAAACAGAGUCCCGAGUGCUCUCUCAUUAAUCUCUUCUUUGACAGCCUCCUUAUCUUCUGGAAUUGCAUCCAUACCCUUGAGGGCCUUUGUUACACCCUCUUUAACCAACAAGUAUUUCAUCCUUACCUUCCAUAGUGAGAAGUUUCCUGUGCCAUCAAAUACAGCCACUUCAUACCUUAUAGUAGUGGAAUGAUAAAUAAAAGCCGAAUCAUUAGCCCUAGAUGAAUUUUUUUUGCCCGACAGUAGCUAUAGCUCUGAUACCAAUUGUUGGGAUUACUAGGCACAAAAUUGAAUCUAUCCGGCUUACCAAUUAAUAGUUAUUCUCAUUCAAGCAUUUCAUCAAACACAUCACAGGCAUAAAUAGAUAAGCACAAAGAGUCAAGAUUUACGUGGUUCGGCAGCAAGUGCCUACAUCCACGGAGAGGAGCAAUCCACUAUGUCAAUCGUCCUAAUAGGGUACAAACAAAACUACAUAAAAGCCCAAAAUAUGGACUGCCAAAUGAUCACAAGAGGAAACAAUAAUAAACAAAAUAUAAGGCAAAAUAACCGAUCGGACCAACCCUUCUGCAGCCACAAUGAUAGAUCAAAAGUGUAGUAUGCAAAGCAACCUUUCUACGGCUCCAAUGGUAGAUCAAAUGAAUAUCAAAAGUCUUACCUUCCUUUAUUUCAUAUACUGUGAACAGCAAAGAAGAAAGGGGCUCACGAAAACAAGAAGCUACAAAGAGGAGUCACGGCUGAAGAAGGGAAGAAGGAAGAAGGCCUCCAGCGAGCGGUAGAUCAAAAGAACACAAGCCUGUUGUUGCCGGAAGACCGAGAGCGCACGAGAGGAUGAAAAAAGGAUGGAGUGCGGCGGCUGGAUCCUCCUUUCACCCAAAAACAAAAAACCCUUUUCACCUCUCACGAAUAAGAGAAUAGGCUACCUUAUAUAUAUAAUGGGAUGUCAAUCUUGCAAAUGAGUCCCUCUCAAAACUACUAUUUGGAGCAAAGUCCAAAAUAAUCAACAGCUUGUGAAGAAGUCUUGCUGGAAUCCCUAGGCUCCGACCUCAUUGUCCAAUCAAGGUGUAAGCUCCGAGCUUUGCAAUAGAAGGCAUCGCAAUAUGAGCCCUCUAGGUCCGAGGCUCGGCAUGAGAAGGUCAGCUGCAGGAACACUUUGGAGGCAUAGGAGUCAAGCCAAGGUCCCAGCUCCGAGGCAAUGAAGCUAAGAUCAAAGGCCUCCAAAGCCAAGCAGGCCGACCUAGUGAACAUUGGGCCUCUCAUAGAUGACCCCAUGAUUACCGAUGCCCUCCGCAUUAUGAGCUCCCCCUUCAAGACUCCUCUGAAGGGGGUGAUGCAAGCCUCUGAGCUUAGACUGCUCAUGACUCACUCAUCCAUGAUAGUAAGUGCUAGUCUCCUUUGCUUUUCUCAUGCUUUAAAUAUUUUUGGGUUUGAGGCAAUCUAAUUAUCAUCUUGCAGGCCACAUCUGGCAUCAGAGCCCUUUGAGACCACCUCCAAAGUGUGGGUCUUCACCUGGAUGAGGCCUUCACCGAGAAGGAGGUGGGAAACAAGGAGGCUGAAGAGUCUAGAAAAGGGACUAAUGGGACCAUGAAGAGAGCCAAGGAAGCUGCUAGAGUGGCAGAAGAGGUGGAGGAGUGGUGAGAGCUGCAAAAGGCCCGGGCUAUAGAUGCCAAGCAGAUGUUGAAGGAGCAAGAACUCCAUAUUGGGCAUCUCAAGUAUGACAUCAGCUCCCUAGUGAGGCACUUGGCAUCCACCGAUGAGAGGAUCAAAGCCCUGAAAUCCAAGGUGGUAAACAAGGGCAAGAAAGCCAUCCUCGUGUACAAGAUCUCGAAGGUGUUCAUGGAUGAGCUCAAGCAGGCUGGGAACAAGUCAUACCUAGUAUGCUUCGAGUAUUAUUAUGAACAAACCAGGAUCCUCUUCUCAAGUGUGGAUCUCAUUCUCCUAGACUCCUAUUGCGAUCUUGCCUCCCUGAGCAGGAGUUGCAGUAGCACACCUUUAUCGAAGUUCUAUCGGAUGUCCGGAAGCCCACUGCCAUAGGAGCCAUAAUCAUUGGCAAAUCUAUAGCCAUAAUUCCAUGGCCGAGGAGCUUAUUGUUUGGGUGCCAAUCACUAAGAGUCCACCGGACAAGGAGCUCGUCAUCGUGGUAUCAGUUCCCAAGGAGCCUAUUGCACCCAAAAAAAAUCAAAGAGUCGGCAUUAGAGCCCAUCGCUAAAGUCAACUGAAGCUGUUUGCUCCUCCUCCUUCUUUCUCUUCAGCCAUGCUUGAUGAAUUGGUCGAGGUUGUCAUGCUAGAUGAGCUUCUCAAUUUCAUCCUUUAGCUACUGACACUUUUUUGGAUCAUGUUUGUGGUCACGGUGGAAAAAAUAGAACUUAUUCAAGUCUCUCCUAGAAGGAUUUGAUUUCAUCCUCUCCGGCCAUUGAACGUACCUCUCCCCCUUGAUACUCAUAGAAAUAUUGCUUCGUGAAGUAUUCAGGAGGGUAUAAUUCUUGUAUCUCCAAGGGGGGUCCUCAGACAUGGUGGGGGCUCUUUGCCCUCCAAAGUCCUCUUCUUCCCAUGAUGGGUCUUCUCAUCUCUUCCUCAUGUUCUCUGCUUGAUUGUCACCCGAUCUCAUAGUCUCCUUAGUAUUGAUGCAUUUCUCUGCUCGUGGAAGAAGCCUGGUGAAGUCCUUAGGAGGCCUCUUGGAGAGAGAAAAAUUAAGUCGGGAGUUUCUCAGACUGUUCAUCAAGAUGGUAAUAGCUGCAGCUUGGUUAAGAUCACAAACUUCCAAUACCUCGAAAUUGAAGGCUCAUGGCGGGUCUCAUCCUUCCUCUACUUAAUACUCAUCAAGGCGGUAAAGGACUUCUAGUUGCUAUAGCUAUUGAUGAAGUAGCUCACAAAUCUUUGACUCAGCUGAUCAAAUGAGCUAAUCGAGCAUGGCUGAAGGUUGAAAUACCAUGCUUGAACUGCUCUCUUCAAUGUGGUAACAAAGGCACCAAACAUGAUGGCAUCGGAAACACUGUGUAACAGCAUAAGAGCCUUGAAAGACUCCAGAUAGUCAACAUGAUCCAUCAUCCCAUCCUACGAUUCUACCUUGGGCAUCUUGAACCUUGGAGGAAGGGGUUUAGCCAUGAUUUGCUUGGUGAAGUCCGCUACAUUACAAAGGAUAGGCUCAUUUGGACUUCUUACUUUCUUCUCCUUUACUUUCUCCAUGACCUAUGCCAAGAACUCGUUCAUCUCAUCUGGCUAGCAGGUUAAAUUAGCUUUCUGCCUUCUUUGAGACCAUCGCUCUCUUCCGCAAGUGAAUGAGUCUUGCCCUAGGCUGGAAUUCCCCUCAAACUCCUUUAAUUUAUUCUCCGAGCAUGAGCUUUCUCAGCCAUUUUUAGGGGGCUAGUAGCGGUAAGGCCGAUCAUCCCUCUGGCUAGGACCUAACUGCUGAUUUGAUUGGUCUUUAAAGGGCUCUGCUAAUUGGAUUUUCUUCUCUAAGACUAGGCCCCUGACCAGACUGGUCAAAGCCUGAACAUGCUAUUGAAGCUGGUCAAAUUAUUCCAUGGUCACCAACAUUCUAGCAGACAGUUGAGGCGGUGGAGUCGACAACCAUGAUUGAGGAAGGUGGGAACCUCUCAAGGGGUCCUUCCCUAGAGAACCUUGAGAUUUGAUUAGAGAUAUUGCAAUCUACUUCUUCCUUCUAAAUGGCAUGGCUUCUCGUUCAAGUUUCCCGCAAGCAAUGCCAAUCUACUAUCGUCGAUCCUAGGAUGCUGAAACAGACCACAUCCCUAGACCGACAAGAUAAUAGAUGAGGGUAAGAGAUUGCUAGAUUGGCUCUGGUCGGGCCCUCUAAUGGAUAUGUUAGAGAGGGUUUAACAUAAGAAUGAAGGAGGAAAGAAUAGAGGAACAGAGUCUUCCCUAGCUUAGGUAAUUUUUUUGUUUAGGUUUUGUUACCUUUUGCAGAGAGCCUUUAGACCUAUUAAUAAAUAGGUUUCCAAAUCUUUUGGUGUCGUAUCCCAACAAGCUUAGGAUCAUGCUGCAACAAAUUGCUAAUGUGGCGUAACAACAUUGGAGACGUGCUGUAAUAACCUAGCACAUGGUCGAAUCAUGCAUGCCUUUAAGAUAGAUCGACCGAGCUGCUUCUUCCACAAGAGGAUCUACCUGUCUCAGAACAGUAGCCAAGGUCACUAAGCUAGGCUGAGAGGUACCAGCCUUAGAGGUUGGCUACUUCUGAUCUGCUCGACCUAGCCUUCAAGUUAGUCUGAGGAGGCCCAACUAGAAUUCUUUGAAAAAUUUCUGAAUGUAGUUGAAUGGUUAUAUAAGUCAUAAGCCAGACAAAUCUUACUAUGCCAUGUCAUUGUGUUUGUGAAAUUCCACAUCAUUUUCAUUAUCGAAUAAUAUUUCACUUUGUAUACAAUCUAAAGUAAGGAACAUUGACAAAAUACAAGAUUCAAUCAUUGGAGAGACAACAAACAAUUUGGAGAAAACUAGAUAAAUUAACAGUGAUUGAGAAAAAUUGACUGGCCUAAAACAAUACAAGUGAUGGUAAAAAUAUUGUCAAUACUUCAUUAGUUCAAAUGUUUAACUAACUAUUUUGCUAUAAAAUGCAGAAAAGACUAAUGCUAGUUCAAAUGUUUAGCAAAGGAGACUAAUGCAAAUAAAUUGAUUUAGGAUAUUGUUGACUUAUUUUAGUACUCUUCUAUAAUUAUGGAGUUACGAUUAUUUUUGAAAUGAAUUGCAGUAGUAACUAUUUAAUUUUAUUUGAACUUUUGGAUAGGUUUUAGGGAUUAAUUUCCAGGGUUAGUUUCCAAAUUCUAAGUCUUAUAUAUGAGCUGAACUGUGGAUAGGGUUAAAGAUAAAAGAAUUUAAGUUUUGGAAACACAAAAAACAAAUAUUAAAUAUAAAAAUAUAAAUAAAUUACAAAAAAUAAAUUAUUAAUAAGAAUAAAGUAAAAAUAGCGUAUAAAAAUUUAAAAUAAUAUAGAUAAAACAAAAUAUAAGUAAUCAUUCAAAUAAGUAAAAGUAGACGGUGUAGUAAUUGAUAGAGCAUGCAAGAGGACUUGGGGCAUGGGAAAAAAGAGGGGAUAAUGAAAACGUAAGAGAGAUGGAGCAAAGGAAGAAAUGUGGGGAGGGAAAUAUGAGGAAGAGGGAUGACAUGAGGAGAGAUAGAAAGAGGACACGAGGAGAAGGGAGGGGCGAGGAGAUGGGAGUGGUGAGGAGAGAUAGAGAGAGCAAAGAUGGCAAGCUACUCAAUUAUAAUAACCUAAAUUGAAAAUCAUAUUUUUUUUUAAUUUGGAAACUUUUAACUUGCCGUAAUUAUUUGACUCUAGUAAUUUAAAAAUAUUGCACUCGCUAAUAUUCUACUCGGUGAUGUUUAAACUGUAUUUGAGAUUGUUUCAAUUUUUCUUCAUUUCGAAAUUUUUAAAUUUUCGCUACUAAUCUGAAUAUAUUAAUUUAGAAAUAUUCUGCUUUCAAAUAUUCUACUUAAUUUUGAUUAAAUUAAAUCUGAAAUAGUUUCAGUUUUUAUUUAGUAAUUUUCUACUCACUAACUAUAUUAAUUUUAUUUAUUUGAAAAAAUUCUUAUUUUUAUUUGGAUAUUUUCUACUCAUCAUAAUUAUCUGAUUAUGAAUUUGAAAUAGUUUCAAAUUUUCUUUGUUUGAAAAAUAUUAAAUUUUCUACUCAACAUAAAUAUCUGACUAUAGUAAACUCAAAAUAUUCUACUCACAUAUUUUUUUUACUCAAACAUGAUUAACUUAAAUUUGAAAUAAAUUUUAACUUUAUUUCUUUGAAAAAUUGGUACUUUGCACUAUUUAAUUUCAUAAAUGUCUAACUAUACUAAAUUGAAAGCAUUCUACUUGCAUAUAUUUUACUUAAAUUCAAUUGGCUUAAAUUUGAAAUAAUUUUAAUUUUUGUUUAUUUGAAAAUUUUCUACUUUGUAACCAUAUUAAUUUUGUUUAUUUGGAAAUUUUUUAACUUUUUAUUUGGUUAUUUUGUACUCACCAUAAUUAUUAAUUAGGUGGGAUAUUUUCUAUAUAUAACCAUUUCUCUUUUUUUUGUACACAUAUAUACUCAAUUCUCUUUAAAAUCCCAAUUCGAACUACAUGAACUUUUUAUAUAAAAGGAAAAGGAGGAAAAAACAAAAGAGUCGCCAAAACCAUGUUUGCCUAAAUCUAAACAAAUACUUGCAAUUGGAGGUCAUUCCUUGUUCCUUUUUUAUUUCUUGAGGAACUUUAAAACCCCUUUAUUUCUUUUAAACAAAGAAAGAGAAUAGUUAUACCCUGCGAUGAAUUCAGCUACAGAGUCCUCUAAAUGCAGGCACGGUCCUUGAUUUGGAGCUUCAGAAUCAAGCCCACCAUUCUCCUAUUUCUAAUCAAUUCUCGCCUAGUACUCUUACUGCUCAUUCCACAAAAGUUGAGAAAGAUCCUGGCCUCAAAGCACCUCACGGGGGCUAGGCUUGGACAGCCUGUCCACAAUUACCAGGCCGUCCGAAAACAAUAGAAAGGUAGGCUCCUAGGAUUAGCUAUUCGCAGCCUGCACAACCGAGACUUGUCACGUGAAUCCCCUUUCUUUUGUUUUUCUUUAAAAGAGGGUAUAUCAGGCAGUCUUUGGCAGUAUAAACAAGAUUGUGGACUAUGAUAGAGAAAGUGUGGCCAGUAUUAUUUGAGUUUCUUGCCCUUAUAUAAAUAUCCAAAAUCUACUUAUUAUAUUAUAUAGCAGAUAUAGAACUAAAAAUUACGCCUGCAUGGAUCAUUACAUAUUUUCUCCAUUUAAAUUCUAAAAUUGUCUCAUGGCUAAGGAUCUAAAUUCAUUCAAAUUUAAUUAUAAGCACCAUAAUCUAUCCGUGGUCAACUCUAAUGAAUCUAUGCUAGUGUCUUCUAUCUACUUCACAUAGACCAUAGACAAAUCUACUCUAAUAUCAUUUAUCAUAACCUAAAAUCUUAUUUAAAAAAGCAAGCCGAAGGAUAUUAUUUAAAUUUUUUUACUCUGUAUGAGCAUUCAAGAUCUAUCCAAUCCGAUGCAUAUUAUUGAACUAAACAUGUAGAAUUACUUUUCUAAUGAUCAAAAAUUCAUAUUUUCAUUUUGAUGUCGCCCUUAUUAGUAAGAUAACUUCAACUUUUUGAAUUCUGCUUCUCUCUCCCACUUUAUCCGUAAGGUAAACGCAACGUUUGUAACGUUUUACGUCAACAAGAACCCUAGUAGAGGCAGCAAACCUCGCCGGUCCUAACGCAAAAGCUUCCUGUCAGGAACAAAACCAAAUAGCCUAAUUCGCGGAUCAACCCAUGAGAAUAUCACUGUUUCAUUGAUUUUGUAAGUUAAAUUCUAGGCAACUUGAGAGGCUAUUAUACGGCAAGAAAACUAUAUCUCGGUUUACUUCCGCCAAGGUGGGAAGCCAGAACACGCUAGGUUUCUCCAUAUCUCAGUCAUCAAGAUAUCAAAGCAACAAGUAAUUUAGUAAAGACAAACUUAUCUAUUACAAGAUUGACGGCUUGUAUGGGACUGCCUAAAUGCGGUUAGAUUGGCUGGAUGGAGGGGGAGUCCCUUCCUCCUCUCUGGCUCCCUUCCUCAUCUGACUCAUUACUCCAAUUCUAUCAUCCGAUCUAGCCAAACAGAUCCUAAGAGCCUAUUUGGAUAUUUUUAUAUAAAUAUCUCAUAAGAACUGUGCCUUUUUACCCAUCCAGCUUGCAUCUAUUAAGGUUUCGCUGAAAGUUCUGUGGAUUUUGUUCUUCCCAUACUAUUUAGAUCGGAAGGUAUUGGGUUGAUACGGGACACACACUCAAAUAAUCUAUCCAAUGCAUGAAUCCAGUAAUAAAUUUAGUCCGACUCUAUUAGAUUAUCCAAAAAGGCUCAAAAUAGCAUUUUGAAAUUCCAAUGCAUGAAUUUUUUCUAGAAUAAAGAAUCCAAUAAGAGACUAAGAUGUGUUAAUUGGCCUGCAUACUAAUAUUGUAUCAGCUAGAGAUAUAAGUGUAUCAGUUUAAAAGAAUCAUUAUUAUGUUAUCCAAUAUAAGUUCCAUUAAAUUUCUCAUCCAAGUAACAAAACCUAUCGGCUGCACAUUUUCAUGCUGACAUUCAGGCUCACGGUACAGAACUUACAUGGACAAUCACAGUAUAUGCAGGAUAUUGUUUCAGACAUUUUCCAGUGGAAAUGGAAUCCUAUGUCACGGUCUUAAGGGAUGUGGAUAGAAUCACAAGAAACCAAAGCACUAGAAACUCAUACGGCACAACUUUGCCUCCCCAAAUAUUAUUCUAAUGCUUGAUCUUGGCCACAUCUCAAUAAACCCCAGCCCAAUUCUCUGCUUGUGAAUCACCACUUGCCCUCUUCAAGUUUCAUCCACUAAUACCCCUCGCUGAGCUUCUCUAAUUAAAUACGAGCCAACCUUUCCCCCCGUUGUUCCUAUCUGUCUCUACGCCGCUUGUUAACUAAUUAGUCUUCUUCAACUACAAUAGUACAAUGCAAGUCACAGGCCGUUUUCUUUGGAGAGUAAAUACUACCAUGCCAAACAUGAGCUCCUUUGCGUCACGUCUCGUCUAAGCUCGUGACUUCUGUCUCCCAAAAACCCCGAAAAAAACGUCUAGGCUCGUGAUUUCUCCACACAUCCGUCCGUGACUUGCUACUACCAAACAAAACGUACCGCGGUGAAGAAGGCGACGAGGCAAGAGAGUCGGAUAAAAUCUGCUCCAAAUUCUAAAUCUCGUCCUCAAAUUACGGCUUACAAACUACGCCAAGAACGGCAUUUUAUAUGGGUGAUGUCUAUUAGAUUCUAUGAUAUGAUAUAAGAUGGACAUGUCAUCGUUGAGGCCACAUGAAGCAAUAAUCUGAAUGGAAAUCCAUUGACCUAAAGGCAGUAGCGUAUCCCAUAAAAUGGUUUUUUUUUUUUGGUCAAGUAUAUCAUACAAUAUGUGUACGAAUACAUCCAAUAAAAUCAGAAAACAAAAAAUCAAGUGUCUGAGGCAAUUCUCCCUCUCCGGCAAACAAAGUGCUCUCAGAACGACUAGCCACAUAGGCGGCCAUCCAAUCCGUAGCUCUGUUGGCCUCUCUAAAGACAUGUUUGGUCUGGAAGGCCCCACCAUUCCUUACCAUCAUCCAAAUGUCUCGAAGCAGAGGGUGGUCCAAGCCCACACCCCUCGGACCUCCUUGUAUCCAACUGAUCAUCGUGGCUGAGUCACCCUUCAAGAUGACCGGGAUGGUCUGUAGCACUCGUCGUGCAUGUUGAAGACAUGCCCAAGUAGCCUUCAACUCCGCCCCGAGGAUCGAAAUGUCGAAUAGCUGGUAGCCGCCCACUACCACCACCCUGGAGUUCGAGUCUCGGAUGACAAAACCCGCAGCUCUCCUUGUGCCUCCAUCCAAAACAGACCCGUGGACUGGGUUUGGUUUCAAAAGUUGGAUCAUUUAAUCUAUAAAGUUGUAUCCAGCUAGGCCUACCUUAAUUGGCCUACAAAAGACCAACUAAUAUCAUGGAUGGUAGGCAAGAAAAUAACCCAAGUAGUUGCAACUUAUGAAAAAUAUCUUCUUCUUUUUUUGAGUCAUUAAGACAGAUUAAUCCUUUGAUACAAAUAUUGCCAAAUUCUCAUUAAGAAAUGUUGAUAAUUUUGUAUAGCAUAUAUAAUUCUUGUAUAAAAUAUUAAAGCACAAGAUUCAUCUAAUUUGCAAAGGUAUUCGAUUUGCAUGAGAAUGACACCAUAUAUGGAAACAUUUUAGUCAUCGCCAUUCUGGAUUUUUCUCAACAGAAAAGUUAAAAAUUUAAUCAUCUAUAUAAGACUUGUCAAUUAGUUUUUAUAAUUGAUCUUUCUUAGAAAGAAUGAUGUGCAAGAUAGAAACUAUCCAUAUAAAGUUGAUUCUGUAACUUGAUCACUAUCCUCUUAUGUUGGAUUGGUCGUAGGCUGAUUCUUUGGUUUGCAAACAAAUGACUGGGCUCUCCUUUUUCGACUUCAUCAGUAGAAAACUUUAUGAUAUCAGACUAAAGUUUGUUCAACCUCUAGAAUUAAUGCAUGGCUAGACUCCUUAAUAAUUAAGCUGAGAUCUAUCAUAUUCGCCUUGUAUACUAUCAGUAAUAUAUGAUUAAUUCUCCAAUAUGGACAGAAAGCAAUUUCACCUUAAGAUACGAAGAAGAUACCAUCAACGUCAGAUGCCUCUUUGAGUUUUUCUCAUCACAUCCCUUCAUUGUACUUAGUUAUAAGUAGGGAUAUGAUGAAAUAUUCCUUUCCUUGUAAAGAUUCAUCAUAUCUGAAUCUCAGAAUGAACAUCUAAUGAAGGAUAUUCUAGAGGUUGCGUAUGGCAAAAUCUAAAAGGGUGUAAUCUAACUAAAAGAAAAGAUAGUAUGCGUUCUGGCUAAAGAGGCCUUAGAGUCAAAACAAUUCUUUCCUCCCCCGACCUUGAUUCUAAUGUCCGGUUUUCCGGAGCUGAUUCAGUGAACAGCAUGAGCCAGUCCCGAAACCCAUGCCGUUUGUUCCGUGGCUUCCAACGACUAACGGUCAUCUCACCCCAGCAUCUCUCCCUCUUCCUCCACUAUAAAUUUGCAACCCCAAACCAUCAAUUCCCCACACCAACUCAGCCCUAUCCAAUCUCCAUUUUCUAGUGGUGUCAAGUAAUAUAUUACACACCACCACUAAUGAAGAUGGAGCUCAAUAUCAUAUGCUUAUUGUUCAUCUCACUCUGUUUGAUCUUUCCCUCUGCCUCUGCCACCACCUGGAAUUAUGCCGAUGCUCUCGAGAAGUCAAUCCUCUUCUUCGAGGGGCAGCGGUCGGGGAAACUGCCCGCCAACCAGCGUCUGACAUGGAGAGGGCACUCGGGCUUGUCCGACGGCUCCACUGACCAUGUAUAGGCUCCACAAAAUGUUCAAUAAAGUUGGAGCUUCUCCUACUCACAUAAUGUGAAGUUGUUAUUGUUAACAUCCAUGCAUGCAUUGGCCUUUCAGGUGGACUUGGUUGGUGGCUACUACGACGCCGGCGACAACGUGAAGUUUGGCCUGCCAAUGGCAUUCACCACCACAAUGCUGGCAUGGAGUGUUAUCGAGUUCGGGGACCAGAUGGGUAGACAAAUUAACUAUGCCAGGGAUGCAGUCCGUUGGGGCGCAGAUUACCUCCUUAAAGCAGCCACUGCAGCUCCUGACACUCUCUAUGUUCAGGUGAUCAACAAGAACAGCAUCUCAACCAACACAGCUAAUGGCAUGAACAUGACUGUCUUAUAUCAUCUUGCAUUACAGGUCUCAGACCCGAACCAGGAUCAUCACUGCUGGGAGAGGCCUGAAGACAUGGACACGGCUCGCAAUGCGUACAAGGUAACGAGCCAGAAUCCCGGUUCAGAUGUCGCGGCGGAGACUGCUGCAGCAUUAGCUGCAGCUUCCACUGUUUUCCGACGCACCGACCCUGCUUACUCUGCCAAGUUGCUUCAAACUGCUGCGAAAGUAACGGCACUCCCUCAGCUAUAUAAUUCGGAUGCAGUUCAUAUGUUAUGAUUAAUACAAGAGGGUGAUUCUUUUGAUGCAGGUCUUUGAUUUUGCCAACCGGUACAGGGGAAAGUACAGUGAUUCUCUUAGCUCGGUUGUCUGCCCAUUCUACUGCUCCUACUCUGGUUAUGAUGUAAGGGGUUCAAACUACUAGUAAAUCUUAGCUUUAGCUAGCCUUUUCGAAUAAUUUUGAUAACUGAUAAAAAUUUGGGAUCAGGAUGAGCUCCUGUGGGGAGCAUCAUGGCUUUAUCUGGCAUCAAGGAAUGCUUCAUUCCUGUCAUAUGUAAGUUCGAAUGGCAAUACAUUGGGAGCAGGAGAUGAUACGUACUCUUUCAGUUGGGACGACAAGCGACCCGGCACCAAAGUUCUUCUGUCCCAGGUGUCGUAGCUCUCACCGUACUCUCCCAUCUCUCCGAGAAGAGUAGCAUGAAUGCUUUAUUUUUUAUCUCUACAGGGCUUCUUGCGGAACAGGAUUCAACAGCUAGAGCUAUACAAAGUUCAUUCAGACAACUAUAUUUGUUCUCUGGUCCCAGGAGCAAAUGGUUUCCAAGCCCAAUAUACUCCAGGUCAAUCUUUUUUUCGGCACUCCUCUUCGAUGACCUUGUUCUUCCGAACAGAACUAACUUCGCUACUUUCACCAACAGGGGGGCUGCUCUACAAGGAAGGAGAGAGCAACCUGCAGUAUGUCACAUCUGCUACCUUUCUUCUUCUCACCUAUGCCAAGUACCUCAACUCCAAUGGGGGAUCAGUCUCGUGUGGGACUUCAAAGAUCACUGCCCCUCAACUUACCUCACUAGCUAAGAAACAGGUACAUCGGAAGAACAGUAACAAUAUCUCAAGCUAGCAUUCUUUUUUCUCCCAACACUAGAGAGCAUAUCUGAAUUACUGAAAAUUCUUGAGUUAUUGUUGAUUUGUUCCUUGGCUAUGUGCCUCUCAAAUACUUGUGAUAAAUUAAUCUAACAAGAGUUCUUUAAUUACUCACAGAUUUUACAAUUAUAUAUGAAUUAUUAACAAGUAAUUCAAGAAAUAUUUAUCAAUUAUAAAUUAAGAACGCUUUUGUGCUUUUGCUGCUGCUGAUGUUGUUUUUACUAAGUAAUAUCAGUUUGUAUCAACAACAGGCACCAAGUGAUAGGUGAUUCCCCCAUUAAUUAGCUUAAGUUAAAAAUAGUAUUUUAGUUAUCAAUUGUCUUCACAUUUUUUAAAUAUAUUCACUGAAGUCUCUUACUCGUCUUUGCUUCAGCCACUCAAUGAGGAACUGCCGGCCUUAAAAACCUCUCUGAUACUUGUUUUCCAGUGAAUGAAUACAUUCACAUUUUGUUAAUCUUAUAUUGUUUUAAAAUAAGAUUUAACAGUAUUAAACCAUGUCAAAUACUUCAUUACUCGUCAUCAUUCAAAUUUCUUUUCAACUUUUGACAUCUAUUUUUUUUUUUCCAAAUUUUCAAUCGUAGUCUCUGAAUAUUCCUUUCCAAAUGCUAUACUUGUCACCGUGCAUGAGUCUGAUUUUUUCGAGGAUUUUCUGAAACACCAGGUUGAUUACAUAUUGGGCCAGAAUCCGGCAAAGAUGUCGUAUAUGGUUGGAUUUGGGGAGCGGUAUCCACUGCAUGUUCACCAUCGUGGCUCUUCAAUUCCCUCUGUGCAUGCCCACCCGGGCCAUGUCUCUUGCAACGACGGAUUUCAGUACUUGUAUUCAGGCUCUCCGAAUCCAAACGUUCUUGUAGGAGCUGUGCUUGGUGGCCCGGAUGGCAACGAUGGCUUCUCCGAUGACCGGAACAACUACCAGCAGACCGAACCGGCUACUUACAUCAAUGCCCCCAUGGUUGGUGCUCUAGCUUUCUUUGCUGGGACGCAGAAUGUGGCCUGAGUUAUAGCAUGGCUCCCAAGCAACAGAGCGGCCAUUGUAGAAUUUGUGAGGCAUGGUGAAGUGGGAUGUGAGAAUCCUGGACUCCCCUGACCAUGUACAAGUAUUGGAAUAUUUCGGUUUAGCAUUUCUUUGCUGUUUGGUCACUCGAGUGGACUAAGAUGCCUAUUAUUCUAUCCCCAACAUCUUCCCUUUCCGUAUAUGCAUGGGUGUGUAUUUGCAUGCAGCAAGAUCAAACAUAACAAGUAGAAAAUAAUAAAAUGAUAAGCAAAUUCAUUAUUUUUCUUUUUUUCUUUCUUUUUUUUGUGAAGUUAAGAAAAGCAAAGUAAAACGUAUAAAAUAAAAGAAAUCGUAGUUAUCAUCAAAAAAAAAAAAACGGAGUAAGAGAGAAAAUCAGAAAGAUUCUUUAUAUGUAUACCCUCAUAAAUUAUUUUUUCACAUACAUAUAUCUAAAAUUACAUGCAUAUCCUCAAAAAUUUACUAUUUUUAUAUGUACCUUUAUAAAUUAUAUUUUUGCAUGUAUAAAAGGUUGGCAUGCAAAGAGAAACAAUUUAUAUGAGAACACAUGCAAAUAGUAAAUUUGUGAGGAUAGAUAUGCAAAAAAAAAAAAUACUUUAUAAGCAUACGCUGUAAAUAGAUAUUUAUAAAGUUAUACACGCAACCAACCUGAGAAAGAAAAACAAAACAAGCAAAUACUCUUGAACCCCAUUACAACAUACUAUUUACUCUGAUCUUCCAGAGAACGGCUUUGAAAGUAGUAGCCUCCUCCUGUAUUAUUUGUUGAGAUGUCAUCAGCAUCAAAAAUAGAUGAUUUAACCAUUCUCCUACAUAUUCGUUAGGAAUUUUAUGAAACUCCAGAGAUAUUUGAUUGACAUCAGCUGUCUUACACUUCACAAUCAAUUCACCUUGUAAGCCAUGAAUAGUUCAUGAAAAUUUCUUGAACAUGACGAAUUCUUGCAUAAUUGGUGAAUAAUAUGUUGAAGAAAGAAUCAUUUUGGUAAAGAAAAAUCUUCGAGUAAAUGGAGAGUUUUCCCUACAAUAUUCGACAUAAGUUUUGCAUAACAUCUAGAACAGCUAAUUCACAAUAAAGCUCAUUCAGAGACAACGCUGGAUCACGAAAUAUAACGCAGUAUGAAUAAUCCUUUAUUUACACAUAGCAAGAUGGUGAUGGACCUUUUCUUUUAAAAAAAAUCCAAGGGUAUCCAACUCAACUUUUCUUGAAGGAAUGAAAAGUAUAAUUAUAAUAAAGGAAUGAAAAUAGGGAAUGAAAAGUAUAUGUUGUCAUAAAGGAAAAACGAAAGUGUAAAUAGCUUCCUCAUAAGGGAGAAAAAACGUAAAAACUAACAUAUAUCUACACCAAAAUAAUAAACCAAACAGAAUUCACUUGCCUACAUUGCCGUUUAUCCCAAACUAAAAUAAUGAAAAAAAGAUUAGCCUCUCUUGAGUUUAAAAGGGAUUGUCCUCAUCCAAUCCUACAGAAGAAGAGUAACUAAAUCUUCUAGAAAAGAUAGAGAGAUGAACUCUUUUUUCGAAACAAAGACUUUAUUUUGAUGUCCUUCAUGUUCUAAGACGCCAUUAUCAGCAAUGUGUUCCACUCUGCAUCCAAAGUGGAGCUAAUUCUCCUUGCUUUUUAAAAUAAUCCAACAAGUUCUGAGACUUACAGGACAUCCUCUUACAGAGUUAAAUGCAUAACAAUGAAACUAGCACAAGCAAAUAAGCUGGAAUUGCCAUAACAGGCGCACAAAGGCUUAUUAUUGGAACUAGAAUUUCUUAUUAAAAAAAUACAUAUCAAAUUUCUCUCCUUGUCCUUAUAAUAAUAAUAAUAAUAAUAAUAAGGGAAAGGGAGAAAAAAAUAGAUGAAUGGAACAACAGACUAGAAAACUUAGCUGAAUGUUGAUUUUUGUUCUAACUCAUUUCUUUACAUGUACGUGAUAGCCCAAUAUCUCUUGGGCUAGUGGGUCAGCCUGAAGAGGCUGGGGCCUUGGGCUUUGAACGUGCGUUGCACGUGAGGGGCGGGGAGGAAGAGACUGGUUGGGAGUCUUCUCUCCGUUCGCGCCCGAAACCGAGAGCUCUAUGCGAUCCAAAAAGGAUCUCCGGAUUACCCUGUUGGCCUUGUCGAACUAAGGUAAAGAGCAAGCUGCCCUUCUUCUUUUCUUUUUUUGGGUCUUCUAGUCGCGGUCGCCGCUUUAUUUCGGUCGACGAGCUGCCGGAUGGCAUGAAGCAAGGUAGUCCCUAUAUCUUCUUCUUCCUUGGUUUUUGCUGACCACCGCUGGCCGCGGCUCUUGCUCGGGGCUGUCGCCAUCGCCGUCGACGCUACCGGGGGCUAUUGUAAUCUACCACCAUCCAUUGGCUCCUCCAUGGCAUAGGUUGAGAAAGAGAGGGAGGGAGAUGUCUCCCCUAUUUUGAGAAAGAGAAGAAAGCUUUCUCUCUCUUCUCUUUCCUCUCUCUCUUGCUUUCUCCUCUCUCAAACCUCUCUCUCUCUAGUUGGGCCGAAGAGAGAAUCAGGGGUAGAUCACCGGUGAAUCCCAGUAGAGAGUUCUAGGUAGUUGAUUUUAGUUGAUGGUUUUUAUUUUAAUAAUGCAUUCGGUACUAUAGGGAACGAUCAGUGGGACAGGAGAACGUCGAGCAGGUUCUUGACACCGGUUUCCAUGGAAGGUAUGGAUUAAGUUGAGUUUGUCAGAAAUAUAGAUAAAAAUUCCUGUUCCUUAAUUACCUUUAUUUAUAUAUAAUUAUUUUGUGCACCAAUGAUUGUGCUUUAUAUGGUAUAUGAUGAUUGCGUAGUAUAUACUCAAUUGUUAAGUGUAUAGGGAUCUUUUAUGGAUGAAUGUAUCAUGUAUUACUAAUUUUGAUAUGUGUGGACUUGGUUAUUUGUGUGUAUCGAAUUUUGUGAAAGAGUGUGAUGUUUAGUUAUAUUCAGCAUGUUAUAGAUUGUAAAUCUGCAUGAUUGGUUGUGGUGGACUAGCCACAUUAUUGAUGCCUCACCAUAGACCAGAAAUGUGGUACUGUUGAUGCCUGUCACAGACAAAAAAUAUGGUACUGUUGAUUUUCCACAUGAGCAGAAAAUGUGGUACUGUUGAUGCCCCACCACGGGCCAGAAACAUGGUUAUUAUAGUCCAAAACUGAGAACCUAGAUGCUACCGAAUUCAAUAUAAGCUAUUUUAAGAAAACUAUUUGAUGUGAUUUGUUGAAUUUUAAAGAUGUGUUACAUGCUCAUUUUGCAAUUAUACUAAUUUAUGGCAUGAAAUUUACAUCAAAUUAUUUAUUACUUUUCUUGUUUAUUAUUAUAAAAUGUGACUAUGUGGAAAUCUUACUGGGCUAGAAAAGCUCAUAUCUAUCUCUUUCUUUUUUCUAAAGACACAUGGUACUUAGUUAUGGACGGGUGGGGCAUGGAGUACGAGCUUAAGAGUGAGUUAGUUUACUCUUUGAUGUUGAUGAACAUCUAAAAAUUAGUGUAAUUGAACAACUUGGAUAUUUGUUCACAAUGGAUUUAUUUAGUUGAAUUAAUUGGUUAUUAAUUGUUGAUUUAAAAUUGUGAAAUUAUUGGAAUUUAUUUAUUUUAGACCUUGCAUAAUCUCUAAGCAUCGUUCUAGGAUUCAUGUGGCCAUAUUACAUAGUCAACCCAGAUGACGAGGUUGAGGCAUCACAUUAUAAUUGUCUAAUUAUAGUACUAAAUUACUUCUUUUUAUUUAUUUAUUACUUUAUUUUCUUUUUGACUUGCUAUAGGUCCAUGAUAACAACAAAAUAAGGGAUAGGAUGAUAGACCAAAAGAGAAGGAUCAUCUAAAUAAAAAUUAAAAUUGUCACGCCUCCAACCCGAGUUCACAAACCAGAGGUCAUAACAACCGCCACAUACUCAUAGGAAACCCUCCCUACAAGCAUGUAGGGCAUCUCAACAUGAUCUCAUAAUAUGCAGUGGAACAUUUUAAAUAAUAAUGUACAAACUUUAUUUUAAUAAAUAGCUCAAUAUUUAAAUGUCUCACGAUUCAAACAAUAUUCUAGGAUAGUACAUCAAUUUAAAUAAAAUCUGUUCUAAGAUAAUUUAUGCCAAAGUUCUGCUAGUCGUUCUCCCAUAUUAAAAACUUCGAUCAGGAUAGUUCCUGAAUCAGUUAAAAAAAAAUCGUAUAAUGAGCUAGACAGGCUAGUAAGUAAUGAUCACUUUAACUAAACAAAAUCAUGCUAUCAAAUAGAUAAUAAUUUACAAAAAAUAAGCAUAUAUAUAAUACUAAGAUAUAAAUCAAAUCUUUCUUAAAAUAUUAAAUUCUGUUUAUGGAUUCAAAUUCUUUCAAAUAUUCAAAUCAUCAUAUCAAUCCUAAGCUAUGACCACAUCAUCCUGUGGCAAGGUCAUAACACCGACUAAUCUUCUUGCGGUGAGUUGCGCAUCAUCUUGCAACAAAAUUCUUCAGGACCACUAGUCCUCUAGCGGUAUAUCACUAAUCUUCUUAGACACAAUCUUCAGGACAAAUCAUGUGCCAACGUAUUAGCCCCCAUUGGUGGGGUCCUCAACAUAGCUAGAUCGAAAUUUAAAUAGUUCUAGGUUUCAUAUUCUAGUUCUAAAAUUAUAAGGUAUCAAAAUCAAUCAAUCAAAUCCUUAAUAAGAUUAUAUAUCGUCAUAAUUUUCUAUAUAAUAAUAUACUAUCCAACAAAUUCAUGCAUCAUGAAUAAUACCACUAAGAAUCAUAAAUAUAAUAAUUUAAUGAUUGUUGAUAAAUUUAGAAAAAAUAAAAUAUUACUUACUUUGCGAACGCAAUCCAACUAACAUAUCCAAUUAAUUCUGAAAAUCCUUCUUAGGGCCUUAUAUCCAAAAAUUAUACUUUUCAUUAAAAUUUCAUCAUAAUUAUAAAAACCUUAAAUUCCAAUACCUUCACAGGGUUGACCAAGCGAGCGGGAGUGCCCAACACCCCAAUCGGUCCAAUCAAAGUUAAAUACAUCAAAUCAUGCUCGAACUAGAACACAGAUGGUUCAAUAAAGAUCAGGGCGAUCAAAUCAAACAGUGUUUGGUUGGGGUAAGGUGGGGGCUGACACGCCGCCAACAACCCUGGAUCAGGAUCCUUCACCAAAGUCAAUUCAAAUUCACUGUGAAGAGUCCCUACUGGAUCCAACUAUCUUAGAAAAAGUAGAGAGAGAAAGUAGAGAGAGAAAGUAUAGGUAUAAAAAAAAUAAGAGACAAGAAAAGGGAGAAAAAAGAAGAGAGAGAAAAAAGAACAAGAUUCUUUCACCCUCUAACCAAGAAAGAGGAAGAAAGAGGAUGGUUGCAGGUGGUGCCUAGGGUUAGAGACCCAAGGCCAGCCAGCAAGCGGCCGGCAGCACCAAAUCCACCAAAAAAGGGGUUUUGACCCCUUUAACCACAUAAAUCAAGCAUCCCAAUGGCAAAAGCUCCGGCCAUGGUCUCCUUCCACAGCGAGGGAUUGGAGGAAGAGCCCAGUGAUGAGCAUCGGUGGCUGAAACAGCCAAAUUCAAGAAAGAUAUGGGUCGAUCUACUAAAAUAGAGAUAGAUAGGGUGUUUCCCUUCUCGACCAAAUUCUAGUGAUCACCGACAGAAAUCAAAGAUUCAAAUAGUCCUGAAGAAGGGGAUGAGUAAAUCGAAGAUGGCCGAGCCCUUAGUUGGUUUCUGGCAGUAUUCAAAUGCGGUGGCGGCGCAAAUGACAAUUGGUGUUUGGAGAGAAAAAAAUGACAAAAUCUCUGACAAAAAGCUUCGAUCGAGGUUGGACCUCCGGUGGGAAGAUGGGGAGGAUGGGGAGGAGCUUAAAUAGAUCGAAGACUAGGAUUUCCGACGAAGAACUUCGAUCACGGUUGGACCUCCAGUGGGGGGAUAGGGAGGAUGAGGAGGAGCUUAAAUAAACCAGAGACUAGGAAGCCCUAUUCUUCGAUAGAGUCCGAGGAGGAGGAGAACUCAUCCUCCUCUGCCCUGCUCAACUAUGGCUCUGCCUUGGUUCUGGUUCGGACUGGCCUUCGGGCUGCGUCUCAAAGCUGGGCCCAAUAAGGCUAGGCCUCACAUUCUCCCCUCCUUUAAAAAUUUCAUCCUCGAUUUUUUUUUCAGCUUUCAAAAAGUUAGAGACACAUAAUUCUAAUCUCAUCCUCAAUAUCAAUACAACUUCAUCAUUAGAUCUUAUCAGAAGAAUAAAGUCCAUAUCUCCAAUCUUGAUUCUUUCUAUAGAUGAUAUAAAUCAAACUUCUCUCUUAUAAACGAAAAAAAAUGUCUUAAUUCCGAAUAAGAACAAGAAGUUUCUUUGUCAAAAUAUCAACUACUCUUGAUUAAUCGAUCUAUCACAAGAUUAGAUCAUAAUCAACUCUAAGCCGCCCCUAGUAAAAUAUUCAUCAAGGUUGAUAGAUAACCUCAGCCUCUUUCAAUCAAAUAGAGGAUUGAUAUUAAAUUGAAGAAGUACAAGCUUUAGAUUUAGGAGGAAAAAGGUCUACACCAAAAUAUUCCAUAUCCAAGAUCAAAAAUCAAUGAUCCAUUAAUUCUAGUCUCAAGAUGCUAAGAAUUUCAUGAGCACGAUAUACAAUUGGAGAACCUAAGAUAGUGCAUCGACAUCCAAAAAUUAGAAUAUUUUUCUUUCGUUUCUCAAAGAAAUCUUACCACACAAGAAAACAGAUCAAGUCUUUUGUUAUUAAAAUUUACCAAAUCAAAGAGAUAAUACUUUUGACCAACUUAAAAUAAUUCAGACCACUACAUUUUUGCUGCGCACUCUAAUUCAAACCACCAAAAUUCUUUGGAUUCACUAAUAUUUUUUUUAUCAAAAUACUACUAUGUAUUAUGAACUAAAGAAAUCCAAAAUUUUAAUUUCCAAGUAAAGCCCAACAAGAAACUUUGGAUUCUCGUCCCCUAAUUUACCUCCAACACAUCCAUCUAGAUUAACCCUCCAGUUAAUUGAUACAUUCAAAACCAUUAUAUAGUCUAGUUACUAUAAUUCAAAAUGAAUUGAAUCUUAAUUCUCUUAUCAACUCAAUUAGACAAUUUCAAAUCAAACUACUACAAGUAAAACAACCAAAAAAAAAUUCUCAAUGCUCUACCAAAUUAGAAGACCUUAAAUCAAUAGAUAUGAGUAAAAUCAACUCAGUCAUCUCACCUAGAGUUUUCUUCAUUAAGAUAUUUAGCAUUUAUCAAAAUCUUCUAUGAUAAUCAUGCAAGCCUCAAAAAAUCAAAUUCUUUAUGCAAAACUAGAUUUCAUUAGCAACCUCAAAAACAUUGGCAAAAGAUCUCUAGAUCAACCUAUAAGCCCAAACUUUGAGUUAAAGUUUAUUACACACCACAUAGUCUCCGUAGACAUAAAUAAGAUCUAUUAUUUGGAUCUAAAGAUGGUGAUAAAAAUUUUUAAUAAUUUCACCAAGAUGAAUACUUUAUGAUCUCAAAUAAAAUCAAUUCUUUAAUAAAAAAAUAAAAUUUUUACAGUAUCUCCAAGCAUAUUUUCUUUCUACAUGCUAGUUUCAUUCAUAAUCUAUAUACAAAUUCAAACCUUGAAGAAUAUUCCAAUCGGGUACCAUAAAAAUCUUUCAUGGUCCUAAAUCUUAAAUAACUUAUUAUAAAUAAAUCCUACCGUGCCACUAAAAAAUUAAUUUCAAAAUUAAGUAAUAUCAUAAUAUACCUCCAUAUUGAUUUUUGAGUUUUCAAAGUUCACUUAAAUAACAAAUAAUCACAAUGCAUGAUAUUAUUCUAUGGUCAAUCCUUUUGCACUUAAUUUAGAUACAAAUCUAACUAAUUAUAACUUGAUUCCAAGAUUGUCCAACCUUACAUAAUGUUUCAAACCUUAUAAAUAAUUUUAUCAUAAAUUCCUCGUAAGCUUUUCAUACAUGAUUACAAAGGUUUAACAGAAAAUCUUUAAAGCACCUUACAAUACAAUCAACAUGGAUGUACGUCCCAAUAUUCCUAGUGUCUACCUACUUACAGUCAUCUUAUGCAAAUUUUCUUAUCUUAGAAUUUAUCCACUUAUGCUUUGAUACCAUAAUAAUUGUCAUGCCCCUAACAUGAGUUCACAAACCGAAGGUUGUGACAGCCGCCACAUACUCAUAAGCAACAUUCUCCACAACCAUGCAAGACAUCUUAACAUGAUUUCAUAAAUAUGCAGCAGAACAAUUUAAAUAAUAAUGUGCAAACUUUAUUUCAAUAACUAACUCAACAUUUAAAUAUCUACGAUUCUAACAAUAUUCUAGGAUAAUAAAUCAAUUUUAAUCAACUCUAUUCUAAGAUAAUUUGUGCCAAAGUUUUGCUAGUUGCUCUUCUAUAUUGAAAACCUCGAUUAUUCUAGUUCUCUGAAUCCGUAAAAAAUAAAAAAUUGUAUAAUGAGCUAAACAGCCCAGUAAGCAAUGAUCACUUUAACUAAACAAAAGCAGACAAUCAAAUAGAUAAUAAUUUGCAGAAAAUAAACAUAUAUACAGUAUUAAUAUACGAAUCAAAUCUUUCUUAAACUACUAAAUUUUGUUCAUAGAUACAAAUUCUUUCAAAUAUUCAAAUCAUCUUAUUGAUUCUGAGCUAUAAGCGCAUCAUCGUGUGGCACGAUCAUAGCACCGACUAAUUUUCUUACGGUGAGUUGCGCAUCAUUUUGCAACAAAGUCCUUCAGGAUGGCUGGUCUACUGGCGGUACGUCACUAAUUAUCUUAGACCCAACCUUUAGAACAAAUCACGCGCCAACAUAUUAACCCCUAUUGGCGGGGUCCUCAACAUAGCCAAGUUGAAAUUCAAAUAAUUCUAAGUUUCAUAUUCUAGUUCUAAAAUUAUGAGGUAUCAAAAUUAAUCAAUCAAAUCCAUAAUAAAAUCAUAUAUCGUCAUAAUUUUUUAAAAUAAUAUAUUAUAUAAUAAUAUACUAUCCAUCAAAUUUAUGCAUCAUGAACAAUACCACUCAAAGUCAUAAAUAUAAUAAUUUAAUAAUUGCUGAUAAAUUUAGAAAAAAUAAAAUAUUAGUUAUCUUGCGAAUGCAAUUUAACUAACAUAUUUAAUUAAUUCUAAAAAUUCUUCUCAGAGCCUAAUAUCCAAAGAUUAUACUUUUCAUCAAAAUUUCAUCAUAAUUAUAAAAACCUUAAAUUCCAACACUCUCACAGGGCUUGCUCAGCGAAAGUGCCCAACACUUUGGUCAAUCUAAUCAAAGCGAAACUCAGAAUCAUGCUCCGACUAUAGCAUAGAUGAUUUAAUAAAAAUCGAAGCGAUCAAAUCUAACAUUGUUUGGCAUGAGGCAGGGUGGAAGCAGAGACAUCGUCCGAUGACUCUAGAUUCGGAUCCUUAACCAUGGUCAAUUCAAAAUCACGAUGAAGAGUCCCUACUGAAUUCAACUACCAUGAGAGAGAGUAAAGAAAGAAAGUCUAAGUAGAGAGAGAAAAAUAAGAGAGAGAAAGUAUGGAGAGAGAGAAGNNNNNNNNNNNNNNNNNNNNGAGAAAGUAUGGGAAAGAGAGAGAAAAAGAACAAGCUUCUCUCUCUAACCAAGAAAGAGAAAGAAAGAGGGUGGAUGCAAGUGGUGCCCCAGGUCAGGGACCCACUGCCGGCCACCAUGCGGCCGGCGGCGACUAGCGGCUGGCAGCACCAAAUCCACUAAAAUAGGAGCUCCGACCCCUUUAACUGCGGAAGUCAAGCAUCCUAAUAGGCGGAGCUCCGGCCAUGGUUUUCUGCGACUACGGUGGAUUGGAGGAAGAGCCCAACGAUGAGCACCAACGGCCGAAACAGCCGAAUUCAAAAAAAACAUAGGUUGAUCUACCGAAACAGAGGAAAAUAGGGCAUUGCCCUUCUCAACCAAAUUCUAGUGAUCACCGACGGAAAUCGAAGAUUCAAAUAGUCCGGAAGAAGGAGGAGAUGAGUAAAUCGAAGAUGGUCGUGCCCUUACCUGGUUUCCACCAGCAUUCAGAUGUGGCGGCAGCGCAAAUGGCAAUCGGUGUUUGGAGAGAAAAAACAACAAAAUCUUUAGCGAAGAGCUUCGGCAAGCCAUGUUUUGGUUCUGCCCUGCUCAACUAGGGCUCUACCCUAGUUUUGGUUCGGACGGGCCUUCAGGCCGCAUUCGGAAGUUGGGUUAGGCCAACAGGCCGGUCCAAUAAGGCUAGCCCUCACAAAAAUAGUUUAGAUUUAUCAAGAAAAAAAAAGGAUUAACCAGUUUAGAAAUGAAUUUUAUAUUUUCUUUUUUCCCUCAAGCCAUGAGCAUUGUUAUUAAGAAAAAAAAAUGGCGUACUUGUAGAUCUUGGCAAAUAUAUUGCAUGCAAUAAGCAGCGUAUGACAGUGGUGGCCAUGCUAGCAUAGUCACAUAACAGCAUGUGAAGGCUCAUGCAAUGUACUAUUAGAGGACAGAAUAUUUCUGCAGCGACAUGUUACGACGACUGUUAUAUAUGAGAAUAAGAGUAGCUCGUCGAAAUAUUUCUAGCAACACUGAUGAAGGUUGGAUUUGAAACAUACUUUAUUGGCAGGUCAAGUUUCCACAUUCUCAUGUAAUGCAUACCACGUGAUUAAUUAAAAUGUGAAGGAUGGAAGGUAUGAAUUCUUUUUUCCAGCAACUAUAAUGGCACAGUGAUUCAAGUGGACCACGGUUUUUGAAAGGUGCCUCUAACCCUCUGUUCUUCCAUUAUGAAAUUUAAUAAGAACAUCGCACAUUGUUGCAUGAAGAUCCAGGCCAUGCUGCUAGUUCCUUCCAGUUCAGAAUGUGUUUAGCGGGAGCCAUCAUCAAGACAAUGAGCGCCCAAAAACUUCAAUUUAGAGCUCCAGGGCGAGGAUAUGCAUGAAGAAGAAUAGAGAAUGUAGAACCCAGUACAUCUGUUUCAGUGGACGAAGGAAAACCCAAGUUCUGAGUAGGAUGCAAACUCAAGUUUUCUUUACGAUGUUUAAAUAGCAAUGCAGAAUUUUGUUUGACAUGGUUUUGCUAAAGUUUAUCUAUAGCUUAUUAGUGAGACUGCACCGGACAUUUCAAAUUAAUACGUUAAGCAUAACCAAUUUCAUAGGAAGAUGGAACAAGAAGGAUGCGAACAAGGAGUACAAUGAGCUCAAUAUCUCUCUAUUCUACAAUUAAAUUAAACCUCACAAGUGCCCCUAUCCACGAGGCUCCAGUUUCACAUUUCAAUUCUUAGAAAACUCUUUUCCACUGCCCCACCAUAGGUUAAACAAUUAAUUAGUGUAUGGCUAUUAACAUGAGCAAGAUUCAACACUUGAGGAACAAAAGUGACAACGCUGACAAGUUUUACCUUAUCUUCCACCUAGUGACAUCUUAUCUUUGGUGAUUCAUAAAAUUUAACCAUUCUAUUUAUAUCCAUAUUUACACCCAUACAAUCAAAAUCCAUAAAAAUAGAUAUAAAUUUUUGCAUCUGUAUUCAUCAAACAAAAGUGGAAAUGGGUAUAGCGAUACACAAACUGGUAUCCCACCCUACCCAGCCCUCCUUCAGACCCUACAUGUAACAUUUAGAUCCACUGCCAAAGAGAGAGGGUUGUUCCAGUUACAUCCCUCCCGCUAUUCUCGUUCUGGGUGAUCUAACAGGUCCACAGAAAGGAAACAAUCAUUACAUCACUAGCAAGGCUCGGUCCAUAUUAAGGACAGAAAUUAAGAGGAUCCAAAUAUCCUUACAUGCUAACAAGGCUCAUCCAUAUUACGAUUAAUAGACCCAAUGUUUGUUGCUAUAUCUUUCAAGAUCAUGCCAUCCCUUGAUUUAUGGAAACACAAAAACACUAAUCUCAAAAGGAGAAACCGGUACAACAAUCUUGUGCUCGUAUUGAUCAGAUGGUAGGCACAGAACCCUGAUGAUGCUACAUGUCCUCAUUUGUAAAACUUCGGUCUAUCUGGAGCAAUAGCCAAAAUGGGUAGCUGGUGAAAAGAUUUGCAUAGUGAGCGAUGUGCAAGCUUCAACACCAGAUCAGUAAGGGCGGUAUCGGCGCCCACGGUUCCCAUCACUGCCCCUAGCUCCACCCUCACCUGAGCCGCCACUGUGAUCACUCCUCCGAUGAGAGGAUGGAGAAGCCUGUGCACCAGGCUGCUGCCUGAACAAUUUAUCAUGUAAAACAAGACAUACAUAAAUGAAAGAACAUCAGGUGCCACAACAGCAUAAAAAUGCCCCAUAUACUAGAUGAAUUCCAUGUACUCACAUAACAUAACCAAGUCGACCAUCAGGUAGCACCAUUGGCACCAUUCUCAUCCCAGAUGGCAUAGGUCCUCUACCAUAUAUCACUGGCUGCAUACAGUACAAAUAUCAAACAACGUCAACUAGCAAUUUGCAGAAUCUCAUUAAUUUCAUAUAAGAGUUAGCAGUGAAGAAAGAAAGAUGGCGGAACUACAAUGCAUGCGCAAUCUCAAAUGCAGUGGUAAGGGAAAUCCAACCUGGCCAAAUCCUGUUGCACCAUAUCCACCACCGUAGGCCCCAUAUGGGGAAUAUGGAAGGAAACUUGGAAGAAGCCCAGGUUUGGAUGAAUUUGAAGCAUAAUCAGACUUUUUGUCGACCUGAGGUUUCGCCAGGGAAACAUCCAAAACAUGCCCUGUGGUUUAAAUUAAUCUCUUAGUCAUGAAAAUUGUCCUAAAAGUUACAAUCAUCACCAAAAGUUUUACAGCAAACAGAGCAGAAAUCAUUCAACUGGCUGUUCUCGCUCAGAGUAAAUUUGUUAACUUUAUAAGACCAAUAUAAUUAUGGUUCUACAUGUUAAAUGGAAUCUAGAUGCCUUCCAACAUACCAGACCCAGCAAAAGAUGACUUGCACGUUCAUAUAGCCCUCAUCUAUAUCAAUAAACAAAUAAACUCAAAUAUAAAAUAUAUUGGUUGCUAAAAAAGAUGUAUCCUCAGGUAUAGCAGGAACUGCACUGAUGCUACUUGCAUUUGUUCAGAAGGUAAAAGCUUCAAGAAAACUUACCAUCAAUUUCAUAUUUUUCUGUUCCUUUAACUGCCUUCAACGCGCUAGAUCUCUCAGCAAAAUGAAUGAAUCCAAAAUCUCGUUUUUGUCCAGCUUUAGCAGGAGGCAGAACAACUUUUGUGACCUCUCCAUGGUGUCCAAAAAGUUCCUUCAACUUUUCUGGUGUGACAUUCUCAGGCAAAUUUUUCAGAUAUAAAGCCUUCACCUGCAAGAAAUUCAAAGGACCAUAAUAAGGUUUGUAUUUUAAUGCAGCUAAAGCUUCAAAGGUACUUAGAAUGUACAUAUCCAAUCCAAUAUCUGAAACAUGAAACCACUGGAUCCAUAAGACUAUAUGCAAGACUGGUGCAAAGAACUCAGAAAGCAAAUUAAGGAGAAGCAACUAUAUAACUGAAUUGUCAAGCAGUUCUAUGGCACGACACUAUGAGACCUCAUAAACUUCUCAUUUUGUGGGUUACUGUUAAAGUAAUUAUUACUACCAUAUACUCAUAUCAUACUUCUGCCAGUGUGACAAUAUUUAUUUUCUAACAGUUACUACAAGAAAUUAAUAGUCAUUCCAUGGUUUAAAGUUUCAUCUAAAACGGAUAGUUUCGACCAAACUUAACCAAAAAUUCCAGUUUUGGUCAGUUUCGGUCAGUAUUGGUUGAGUUUCGACUGAAACUAACCGACAAUAUUGUUAAGAUCAGGAUUGGAUCGUAUAUGAAAAAUAAUGGAUCAUGGAUAGUUAAGUUUUUAAGGUUUUUCCUGAGAAAAAUGAAAAAUAGACUCUGCUUGACUACAUGAACAGAUCUGUCCCUUGCUGUUGUGCUUUUAUCUCAUGCGCAGGCCUCAUUCAGUUAAUGAGAUUAAUUAGGAGCUUAGAAUCACGUGAUGGAUGAGAAUUUGUUGAGGUGUCAUGGAAGCUUUGAAUAAACUUUGAGACAGGAUAUUUCUUAGAGGUGAAUGUUGCUGGAUCAGUUGAAAAGCAGAUUGAUAAGCGUUGCAUGAGAGCUCAUAAGGAUAAGGUGCUAAGGAAGUUAAAAUCCUAGCAUUGUAAAACUUCGUCACUUGAAUUCUGACAUCAUAUUUUAAAAAAGAAAAAUCCAUCGUCAGAUUUGGGCACUGUUUACCUCCUCAUGCGAAAAUAGGGACACCCAUCCUGUUUCAGUAUGUGAACAGCACUCAAAAGGCUGUUUGAAUGGAUUGGAAGAUCCAUGAUUUAGAUCAAUCCAACAUUGGAUCGUUCUAUCUUUCUUUAUUUAGAUCUGUUGGUCCAAUCUGGAUCAAUUUUAUGCAUUUUGAUCCGGAUUGUGGAUUGGACAAUCUUAAGAAAGUUGCUGACCAAAGCUACUGUUUUUGAUCUUUCUAUUGUUUAACACAAGGUAUGCCGUCUCGGUACUCAGCCCAUACCGGUGCCACACUAUUACUAUGUCGAUAUGGUGCGGUGAGGGGCCGGUCAGCAUACUGAGUUUUGAUACGCCCUCCGUACCAUGUACCGAUACCGAACCAGUACGGUACGGUACGGCGAACCUUGGUUUAACAAAUAUACAGUUUAAUGUCUUUAGUUUAGUAUUUUCUAAAAUGUAAAUAUAAUUCAAUAUUCUAUUAGUCAUAGACCCUAUGACAACAAUUGGUAGGUAGAACAAAGUCUGAAGGUUUACACCAUGUACCAUGGAGGGAUACAACUUAUACAGUGGAAUAGGUAUUCUUUGGUGUUUGAUGGAAGAGAUAAGUGCAAGGAAUAAAGUGCUAUGAAUUUUGUGAUAGAUUUGGAUUUUAUCGCAAAGAAAAAAUUGCCCUUCCACUUUUUGCUCAGAUUAAAUAGUUGAUAGGGGCAAAAAGAUAAUUAGAGGGAAUAAGUUUCCCUUAUUCCACCAUAUAACUUCACUUCCUAUUUUGGUGGCAUAAGUUAUACUGUCUUGGCCCAUUAAUACCAACACAUGGUAUAACUCCUAUUACUUGGCCAUUUUUUGUUGUUUGGCAACAUAAAACAAAAUAAGGGCUUUAUUCCGUGGGCUAUUCCACCUAGCAAACAAGACUAAUGAUUUAAUCUAUGUUAUUUUUGGCUAAGCUUUUUUUUAUUAUGAUGUCUAUCCUUAUUAAUUUCAAAGAAUUACAUGUUUAUAUCAUUUUUGCUUUUCUUCAUAGACGAAUUUUUUCAUUUUCAGAAUGAAAUGAUAAUAAUGAAAACAAAAUACUGAAAUAAAAUAGGUUUUUAUUUAGAUGAGUUUUUUCUUGCUUAGAUGGGUUAUUCAAAUGAAAUCAAGUGAAAUAUGCUUAGCUGGAUUUUUCGUUUCUUAAGUGAGUUAUUAAAACGAAAUAAAAUGAAGUAUGGUUAGAGAAAUUUUAGCUAAAUACAAAAAUUAAAGCAAAAACAGAAAAUUCAAAAAGAAGACAAAAAAUAGGAAAAUUAUAGAAAUCAGAUAAAAGUUUAAGGUGGUGAGGAUGUUAAAGUCCUAGCAUUGCAAAACUUCAUCACUUGAGUUCCGACAUUAUAUUUUGAAAAAGAAAAAUCCAUCAUCAGAUUUGGGCAUCGUUUACCUCCUCAUGCGAAAAUAGGGACACCCAUGCUGUUUCAGCAUGUGAACAGCACCCAAAAGGCUGUUUGAAUGGAUCAGACGAUCCACAAUUUGUAUCAAUCCAACAUUGGAUUGUUCUAUCUUGAUUUCGAUCAGUUGGUCCAAUCUGGAUCGAUUUUAUGCAGUUUGAUCUGGAUUGUGGAUUGGACAAUCUUAAGAAUGUUGCUAACCAAAGCUACGGUUUUUGAUCAUUUUAUUGUUGAACAUAUAUAUGUUUAAUGUCUUCUAGUGUUUUCAAAAAUUUGUCAAUAUUAUUUAAUAUUCUAUUAAUCACAGACCCAAAGAUAGCAGUUGGUAGGCGGAAUAAAUUACGAAGGUUUACACCAUGUACCAUGGAUGGAUAGGACACAGAGAGCAGAAUAGGUUUUCUUAGGCAUUUGGUUGGAGAGAUAAGUACAAGGGAAUAGAAGGCAAUGAAUUUGGUGAUAGAUUUGGAUUUCAUCAUAAAGACAAAAUUGCUCUUCCACUUUUUGCUUGAUUAAAGAGUUGAUAGGGGUGAAAAGAUAAUUACUGGGAAUUAGUUUCCCCUACUCCACCAUAUAACUUUAGUUCCUAUUUUUGGGGUAUAAGUUAUAGCGUUUGGGCCUACUUAUACCUGCACAUGGUAUAAGUGGGCUCAAAUGGUUUUAUCUCUUAUUGCUUGUCCUUUUUUGUUGUUUAGCAGCAUAACACAAAGUAAAGGCUUUUGUCCGUGGGUUAUUCAGCCUAGCAAAUAGGCCCUAAUGAUUUAAUUAUUCCGCCA